AUUUAGCGUUAGCUAUUGCAGCGGCAUCCUUUUUUGGCCUGACUCCUGCAAGGUUUCUAAAACCUUGUAGGUAUCACGGUUAGUUAGGGGCUCAAGUCCUACAAGGUUUCCAAAACCUUGCAGGACUGCUUGAUAUGAGCCAAAAAAGAUAUAGCGGAAAGAGCGACCCUCU
rnacentral:sRNA from 1 species